UUCUCCAUUCAAGAGGAACCUCAAGGAAAGAAAUAAUUAACUUGUGUUUUAUACUGAGAGAAAUUCUAAAAAUGACAGAGAAAUCUGUACCUCAUUUCUAACCUUAAAACUGAAUAUAUCUAUAAGGACCACACUCUUAUAUAUAUACAAUAUAGUCAGCACAC